rnacentral:rRNA from 1 species
AGCUCCAAUAGCGUAUAUUAAAGUUGCUGCAGUUAAAAAGCUCGUAGUUGGAUCUCGGGGUACCUGGUCUAGCCGGUAUAGCUCACGCUAAAACUGGUCUGACCCCCAACCGGAGGGAUUUCUUCUCGGGUGGACCUUCUUUGGUGCCUGUGAGGGGCCUCGUAGUUACUGUGAAAAAAUUAGAGUGUUCAAAGCAGGCUCAUAUGUUCGGAUAGUCGUGCAUGGAAUAACUGAAUACGUGACUGGCGCUUUUCAGUUGGUCUCGGCGACUGGUCAAAUGAUUAAGAGGGACUGCCGGGGGCAUUGGUAUGGCGGGGUUAGAGGUGAAAUUCUUGGAUCCUCGCCAGACCAACAAAAGCGAAAGCAUUUGCCAAGAAUGUCUUCA